CAGCGACAGGAAUUGUGUACUGAUUCUUUACAGGAGCCUAGUUCGAUCGCGAUUAGAUUAUGGUGCUGUAGCAUAUCACUCUGCCGCACCGAGUGCGCUAAAUAAAGAUGGUAGAUCCCGUUCAUCAUCUGGGCAUCCGCCUGGCCACUGGUGCAUUUAGAACAAGCCCUGUCGAAAGUCUAUAUGUAAAGUCAGACGAGUGGUCACUCCAUUUUCAGAGAACGUAUUUUCUCAAAAUGCGCUCUAAUAAAGGAACAUCCGUGUUUCACAACCGUUAACGACUUGGCGUGUGAAACACUUUUUCGUAAUCGACCCUCUAUGAGACUUCCUUUGUCACUCCGUGCAAGAGAACUUAGCAAAGAAAUGGAUGUCCCAGCUAUAAACACAAAUAAAUUACAUGAAAUAAUCUCAGAUAUACAGUAGGGAUCACGGGGAGCAGCACGAAUGCUCGAUGCCUCAAAUUCAGAAUUCGACAAGUGCAAAAAGAUUUUACAAAGUGCAAAAAGAUGUUAGCUGUGAGAGCUUAAUAAGUUACUUCUAUAGAAUUGAUUCUUGGCAUCAGGUGACUGAAGACUUUUAACAUUUCAAGUGCUUGUAUUAUUGCUACUCCCAGAGACCAUUUAUCAACUGUGAUUACUUUCAAGUCGCUCAAUAAACUUGUCAUUACUUUGCACAUGACAUCACCAUUCACUCACAUGCAGACAACAAUGACAAAGACGGGAGAAUGGAUGAACUUGGUGUGAGGAGUUUUUACUUCCUUGGUCAUACAUUAAGAUGAAAUUUUCCACAAACUGUUCUACAGGGAUUCUAGGCUUCACAAUAUGGGGGAGCUGCUUUUCCACUUCAAUGAGAUAUGUCGAUAUUGUGCUCAUUCAGACUGGUGCAGCUGUCACAAUUAUUGCACUUGUAUUGAUUGUGUGCUUUGUGCUCAUAAUAGCAGGGCGCAUUCUCUGUGAUCCCAAUGGCUGUGGCCGACAGUGACUGCAAGUACACUCUCAUCGAUGUGGGAGCCGAGGGUCGCCUCAGUCAGGGUGGCACAUUCCAAAAUUCAGAGUUUGGACGUGCCCUCACUCAAGGAGAUUUGGAUAUCUCAUCGCUGAGUUUGCUUCCUGGCUCUGCAACAAAUGCACCAUAUGCCUUCGUAGGCUACGAGGCUUUUCAGCUGAGAGAGGAUUUUCUUCGUCCUUAUCCAGCCAAGCAGCUUGACGACGAAAGACGGUCUUCAACUAUAGGCUAACCGAGCAAGGCGCUGUGCAGAGAACGCAUUUGGGAUAACGGCGGCCAGAUGGAGAAUUCUGCUACGUACCAUUGUUAAGAAUGGCCAUACGGGAUGGCAACGUGCCAGCUUUCAGCCCGCUGCACGUGUUCCAAGCCCACCAGACAGGGAGCCCUUCCGAGAACUGCGGAUGACCGGCAGCCACGUGGCGCGCGGUCAGCUCAGGAAUGUGGUACUCCGCCGCGCCACCCGAGACGGAGCACAGUUCUACGAAGCCCUCGGUCGUUGACUCCGGAGCCUUUGUGUGUGUGGGCGUAAACGAUACUGCGGAACGGCGCCCCUCUGUCGUCGGCUCCAGACCUUCGCACCUGUGUGUUGGCGUGUGUGUGGGCGUAAACGAUACUGCGGAACGGCGGCAAGUUUACAAUGAUUGGACGAACCUUCCCGACCAUUCCUGCUCCGUCCACGCCGAACGAUGACGUCGAACUAUGACGUCAAGCGGAGAGCUUAUAAGCAGCGUUUGCCGGCUGCUAGAGUGUGCUCGUGUCGUGAUCGUUGUCGGGAGCUGAGUGCUCUGUCAUGCUAGAAAUGAACUAGUGAGCUGUGUGCUCGUAAACUGUUUGCUGUAUGUUAGUUUUGCGGGCUCCAUAUGGGAGUCGCGCUAGUCUGCCAAUGUAUCCUGCUUAAACUGUUAAUAUGUAAAUAAAUCCUGUUCACCGA